GGGAUUGCAGGUAUCUCUUUGGAAUUCAGUUUUUUUUUUUACCUCUCCCCCUCCCUUAGUUAAACGUCCAGAUCAAAACAUCGAACUAUGCACUUUUCCUGGAUCAAACAUGAGGUUAGUCUUUGAAAAAUAUUUGUCUAGUAUAAGGCUAACCUCUACAAAUACUAGACCACUUAUCUUUUCUGGUUUUACUUUUUUGUGGCAUAGCCAUCGUUAGUUGAUCGAUCGUUCCAAGUUAAAAAAAAAAAUAGGGGAAAACGCAAUGUUUGUUCUGUUUUUUUACUUGUUUGCUUAGGUACUUUGUGUAUCGUGUUUGUGUAUAUUACCUGCUAGGAAUAUGGGGAACUCCAUCAUCUGACGUUCCUGGGAGGUUGUCCAUGUUGCUGUUUAUACAUACAUGUCAACCUCUGACAAUGGGAAAUCAUGUCAUGACAUGACAUGAUAUGUCAAAAAGCGUGUGAAAACGCGUGACGUAGAUGCGGACUUGUUAAUAUGAAUGUGGUAAUGUUCAUAAUUUCAUACAAAUUUGUGAAUACAAAAAAACAAUAUAUAUUCUACUUUGAACUUUUAUUGUAUUAAACAGUGGUCUGUUAUGUUGCUUUUAAAGCACCACCACUAGGCACAUAUUCAAAACAACUGCCAGUUUCAAUUUUAGUUACAUUUAUUUGAUAACAGCACACAAUACAAAUGUAACAUAGUCAAGUUCGGAUCAGAAUUCAGUGUUAAUUUCUUUAUAAUUGAAAAGGCUCUCUCACAGUAGGAAUUGAUAUUUGACUGAAUUAGCUUCAUCAAGAUUUGAAAGAAUGUCAUAAUGUUUUUUUUUUUUGGCAAUGUAAAAUGUCAUCUAUAGAUUAUCUCUGCCAUUGCUCCCAUUGCUAUUGCCUGGUUAAAACUGGGUAGUUCAUCAGAAGAAAGCUGGUACUAUCAGAGCUGAUGCAACAGUUCUGUGGUAUUUUUAUCCCCAUGGCCUGUAGAAAUCUGUUGCCGUGUUGGCUAGAUUUAAAACUGAAAUUGAAAAAGAAAAAUGUUUUAUAAAUUUGAUUUCUAUUAGAUAAACAUGUUAAAUGUUUAUUCAAAUAGCUACAUUGUAUUUCUCCUCUCACAUGUAUUGUUUUUUUUAUCAUUGCAACAUAGAAUGCACAAAUUAUGCGUUACUUGUCACUCGAUCAUUUAAACUCGAACUCCAAAAUAUAAUUUAUAAAUCUUGAAUCUUGCCGUACACGUCGUUUUGGCUUAACAAUUGGCACUUUAGGCGACGGUACAGGUCCUGAAAAGUGACCUCUUUCUGUGCACAUUUCCCCUAUAAAGUGAAUUUGAAAGAAAGUCACAAAAUCGUUAAAACUAAUCACAAACUACUUACCUUUUACUGUUUGUCCAUAUAGAAAAAUAAACAAUACGGCAGCCAAACAAUUGCUUCGAAUUUUUCGGUAUUUAUCGCCGAAUAAGGAUAAAACCCGAGAAUAGCGAUAUCACUAACGACCAAAAAAUGAAAAGAACGAAAAA
rnacentral:lncRNA from 1 species